rnacentral:lncRNA from 1 species
UAUCAACGCCCACAAACUCCUUUGUGUUCUACUCAAUAUGUCAUCCACGCAUAGACCUAGCUCUGAUACAACUGUUGGAUAGCGUUGCAUGGGAAACAAAAAAUUUCCUACGUGCAAACACGAUCUAUCCAUGGUGAUGACCAUCUAGGAGAGGAGAGAUUGAAUCUACAUACCCUUGUAGAUUGCUAAGCGGAAACAUUCAAGAACGCGGUUGAUGUAGUAGUACGUCUUUGCGAUCCAAUCACGAACCAUCCUGGGA